rnacentral:rRNA from 1 species
AUUGAACGCUGGCGGCAUGCCUUACACAUGCAAGUCGAACGGCAGCACGGGUGCUUGCUGCUGUUAGCGAGUGGCGGUGGGGUGCGUGUUACAUAGGAAUCUGUACUGAAGUGGGGGAUAGGGCGGAGGAAGGCGGAUUUAUACUGCUUACGAUUUCCGCCUGCAAGUGGGAGCACUUGGGGCUUCGAGCUUUCGGGUUGGAAGAUGUCGGAUUAGCUAGUUGGGGGGGUAAAGGCCUACCAAGGCGACGAUCAGUAGCUGGUCUGAGAGGACGAUCAGCCACACUGGGACUGAGACACGGCCCAGACUCCUACGGGAGGCAGCAGUGGGGAAUUUUGGACAAUGGGCGAAAGCCUGAUCCAGCAAUGCCGCGUGUGUGAAGAAGGCCUUCGGGUUGUAAAGCACUUUUGUUGGGAAAGAAAAGCAGGGCCUUAAUACGGUCGUGUUAUGACGGUACCCAAAGAAUAAGCACCGGCUAACUACGUG